rnacentral:lncRNA from 1 species
UCUUUUGUAUAUAAAUAUAGGAUCAAGAAUUGUAAAUUGGAUCGAUCAACAUACACAGAAAUUUUUCAAGUCCUGUUUGCUUUCUUUCAUGGUAUCAGAGCUUACCUAAUCAUAAAUUCUCUAAUCUAUCACCCUAAGCAACAGAAAUGCCUGAUUCUGUAGUCUCUAUUGGAACGACAACUGGUAGUACUAACACUACUCCUGGAAUUGAUUCCAAUCACCCCUAUUUCCUCACAAACUCAGAUGCACCGAGUAUGACCCUCGUUAAUGGUAUCUUUGAUGGCAAAGGAUACCAGGCAUGGAAGAGAUCUGCACUCAUUGCCCUUUCAGCAAAGAACAAGCUGGGUUUUAUUACAGGGGAUCAGCCUGCACCAACUGUUGGUUCUUCAGAUCUGCAGCUAUGGAGCAGAUGUAAUGACAUGGUUACUUCAUGGUUGCUCAACUCUCUCUCCAGGGAAAUUGCUGAUAGUGUGAUUUACUCCAGAUCUGCUAGAGAACUUUGGCUCAGCUUGGAGCAUCGAUUUGGUCAGUCAAAUGGUGCUAAACUCUUUCACCUGCAAAAGGAAUUAAGUAGGUUAGUUCAGGGAAACAAUAACAUAGCAGGAUAUUUCACUAAUCUUAAAAGACUCUGGGAUGAACUAGACUCUUUAAAUUCAAACAUCAAAUGUUCAUGUGUGUGUGUCUGUCAAGGAAAACAUAAAAUGGAGAAAUCUAUGGAGGAUGAAAAGCUUAUUCACUUCCUUAUGGGGCUCAAUGACACUUAUGCUCAGGCUAGAGGAAACAUCUUAAUGAUGAAUCCACUUCCUAACAUCAACAUUGCAUACUCCUUGAUCUUGCAAGAUGAAAAUCAGAGGAAGACUUACAUGAGUCCUUUUAUGCCCUCUGAUUCAUAUAGUAACAUGAAUCAGCAUAGAGGAAGGCAGCCUCAAUAAUUCACUGGUAACACAUUCAGAUCUGGAAAUACAUAUCCUAGAAAUGACAACUCACAAGGCUCACAGAAACCUCAAAAACAGUUUCAGAAAUUCAAAGGAAAAAAGGGAAAAUAUGAUCCUAAUGCAAACUGCACCCACUGUGGUAAGAAUGGACACUUGAAGUUGAACUGUUAUAGAUUGAUUGGGUUUCCAGAAGUCUUUCAGUUUACAAAUGAGAAGGGAAGUCAUGGUCAAAUAAGAGGAAAUGCAGUGGUCAACAUGGAGGAGGCAGAAGUUGGAUCCACUGCUCAUGCUAUCAAUCAACAUUUCACUUAGGAACAAAUCAAUUUUCUGUUUCAAAAUGGGAAAGAGCUACUUCAAGCUUUCACGCAGAUGAAGGUGGAAGAUAAGACCAACUUCUCAAAUGCUUCUGAGAUCAAUGCAAAUGUUGUAGCUGGUACACUAAUGAAGUAUUUUGGUUCCUGUUUCUCUGUUUUCAAUUCAAAUACAUGGAUUGUAGACUCGGGUGCUUCAGAACAUACGUGUUUUAAUCCUGAUUCUUUCUUAUCUAUGUCCCCCCUUACAGUUCCUCUAAACAUCAAUCUUCCUAAUUCAGAAUCUAUCAAUGUUACGCAUACUGGUGUUGUAUGUUUGUUUUCUGACCUAAUUCUGACUAAUGUCCUCUAUGUUCCUAGUUUCAAAUAUAACUUACUAUCAGUUCAUAAGUUAUGUUGUCAAUUCAACUUUUCAAUCUCUUUCACUUCUAAUGAAUGUCUACUGCAGGGCCUUUCCAUGAAGAAUCCUAAAGUUUUUGGUAAGGCUAAGGAGGGUCUCUACUUGCUUCAGCCAAAUCCUAAGACGUCUAUUCUUCAGUCAACUGAUUCCCAAUCUGUUUCUUUUCCUUUUUCUGUUUGUUCUAGUGCACUUUCUGAUGUAAAGUUGUGGCACAUUAGACUUGGGCAUCUGCCUUUAACAUCAAUGAAAAAUGUCAGUUUCAUUUCUGUUCCUUCUAGUCUUGAUUGUUAUUGUGAUAUUUGUCCACAAGCUAGGCAAUCUAGGCUUCCCUUUCCUAUCAGUCAUAAUAAAUCUAAAUCCAAGUUUGAGUUAAUUCAUGUUGACACCUGGGGGCCCUAUAAGGUACCAACUUAUAAUCAUCAUAAAUAUUUUCUUACUAUAGUUGAUGACUAUAGCAGGGCUACUUGGACAUAUCUAUUGGCUAGUAAGAGUAACUCGUUUCAUGCUUUACAGUCUUUUAUACAAAUGGUGCACAGACAGUUUGAUGCAAAGGUAAAGAUAGUGAGAUCAGAUAAUGCUCUUGAGCUAGGGAAAAGUGAGGCAGGUCUCUGUUUCUUCAACUCCCUUGGCAUAAUUCAUCAGACCUCUUGUGUUGCUUCCCCUCAACAAAAUGGUAUUGUUGAAAGGAAGCACAGACAUCUACUUGAGACUGCCAGGGCACUUAUGUUUCAAUCAAAAGUUCCUAUGAUUUAUUGGGGAGAGUGUAUCUUAACAGCUACUUUUCUUAUUAAUAGGUUCCCAUCCAAAGUUAUUGAUGGCAAGACGCCUUUUGAAUUGAUUUUUGGGAAAACCCCUUCUUAUCAUUUCUUAAGAUGUUUUGGUUGCUUAUGUUAUGCUAAUACUUUGAGUCAGGGGAGAGGUAAGUUUGACUCAAGGGCCAGAAGUUGUGCACUUCUGGGCUAUCCUAUAAAUCAGAAAGGUUACAAGUUAUUGGACUUGCAUACUAAAAAGAUUUUCAUCUCUAGAGAUGUGCAUUUUGUUGAGCAUAUCUUUCCUUUUGCUACUGCACAGUACGUUCCUCCUAUUUUUUCAGAACAUCCUAUUGAUUCUGAUUUUUUUUUCUUCUCCAUCUACUCCUCAGACUUCUCCCUCUCCUACUUUUCCUUCUUUGGAUCCAAUUUUGGUAUCCUCUCCUCCUUCUAACCUAUCUGAACCUGUUGUGGCUUCUCCCACCCCUGUUCCUCCUCUCAGAAGGUCCUCUAGGUCUACAUUAGGGAAAGCUCCUUCUCAUCUGCAUGAUUACAUCUGCAAUCUUAUAACUCUUACUGAUGUCACACACUCCUGUUUCUCCUCUACUCACACCCCUUCCACUAUUUUUGUUCAUACUCUUUCUCAACCUAAUCAAACCACCAUUCACAACACCUCUCAUAUCUUAGAACCUACCAGUUAUGCACAAGCUUGUUCUCAUCCAGGUUGGCUACAAGCCAUGGCUGCUGAACUUGAAGCUUUGCAAUCCGACUACACUUGGGAUGUGGUUCCUUUGCCUUAUGGUCGAAAAGCUUUACCUUGUAAGUGGGUCUACAAGGUUAAGCAACAUGUUGAUGGUACUUUGGAAAGACUGAAGGCCCGAUUGGUUGUGAAAGGUGACAUACAACAACAGGGGAUUGAUUUCACUGAAACCUUUUCCCCUGUUGUUAAGAUGACCACUAUUAGAUGUUUGUUGGCUAUUGCAGCCAAGAAAUCUUGGGACAUUUUUCAAUUUGAUGUCAAUAAUGCAUUUCUUAAAGGUGAUUUACAAGAGGAGGUUUAUAUGAAAUUUCCUAUAGGUUUGGUUCCUCCUCAACCUAAUAUGGUUUGCAAACUCCGCAAAUCUCUCUAUGGUCUUAAACAGGCUUCUCGGCAGUGGUAUGCCAAACUUGCCGGAGCUCUCACUUUUAAGGGUUUCACUGCCUCCCUCAAUGACUAUUCUUUAUUCUUCAAGAGGACAGGUUCUCUUACUACUAUUAUUGCCGUCUAUGUGGACGACAUCCUUAUUACGGGUGAUGAUCACCAAGAAAUCUCUGCUCUUAAGUUAUUUCUUCACUCAGAAUUUAAGAUCAAGGACCUUGGUCUUUUACACUAUUUUUUAGGCCUGGAACCACAUGGUAUUAUCAUCAGUCAAAGGAAAUAUACCUUGGAGCUUCUACAGGAGUUUGAUGUAGCUCAUCUUCCAUAUGUUUCUUCUCCUUUAGAUCCAUCUGUCAAAUUACUUGCAGAUUCAGGGGAUUUCAUGACAGAUCCUACACUAUACAGACAUCUCAUCGGCAAACUUAACUAUUUGACUCAUACCCGUCCCGAUUUGUCUCAUUCCGUUUUGAUUCUCAGUCAGUUUAUGCAAAAGUCGUGCCUGUCACAUUAUGAUGCUGCUUUGAGAGUGGUGAGUUACCUGCAGCAUUGCCCUAUUCAAGGUUUGUUCAUGUCUCCUUCAUCUUCAUUUUCCCUUCAAGCUUUUUGUGAUGCCGACUGGGCGUCCUGUAGAGAUACAAGGAGGUCGAUCAAUGGGUUUUUUAUCAGUUUGGGCGGUUCACCCAUUUCUUGGAAAUCUAAGAAACAGGCCUCUGUUUCCCUCUCUUCCGCUGAGGCGGAGUAUCGAUCUAUGCGGCGCCUUGUUGCCAAGUUGACCUGGUUGGUGCGCUUACUCUCCGAUCUGUCCGUUCCUCCUGACCUUCCAGUCCCAGUUCACUCCGACAGUCAGGCUGCUAUCCAUAUCGCUCGAAAUCCGGUCUUUCAUGAACGGACCAAACAUGUUGAUCUCGAUUGCCAUUUUGUUCGCCAACAGUACUUAUCUGGGCUCAUCUCACUCUCCUUUGUUCCGUCAAAAGCACAACUGGCUGACCUUUCUCACCAAAUCUCUCUCUGGUCCUCUCCAUCGCUCUCUUCUUCCCAAGAUGGGUCUCACUCAGCUCCUCUCCAUCUUGCUGGGGGAUGUUGGAAUUAUUGAUGAUAAACAAGGAAAGGAGACAUCAAAGGGAGAAAAGACAAACAAGCAGACAAGAGCUUCAUGUUUGGCUUUG